rnacentral:rRNA from 1 species
UAGGGAAUCUUCGGCAAUGGACGAAAGUCUGACCGAGCAACGCCGCGUGAGUGAAGAAGGUUUUCGGAUCGUAAAACUCUGUUGUUAGAGAAGAACAAGGACGUUAGUAACUGAACGUCCCCUGACGGUAUCUAACCAGAAAGCCACGGCUAACUACGUGCCAGCAGCCGCGGUAAUACGUAGGUGGCAAGCGUUGUCCGUAUUUAUUGGGCGUAAAGCGAGCGCAGGCGGUUUCUUAAGGCUGAAGUGAAAGCCCCCGGCUCAACCGGGGAGGGUCAUUGGAAACUGGUAGACUUGAGUGCAGCAUAGGAGAGUGGAACUCCAUGUGUAGCGGUGAAAUGCGUAGAUAUAUGGAGGAACACCAGUGGCGAAGGCGGCUAUCUGGUCUGUAACUGACGCUGAGGCUCGAAAGCGUGGGGAGCAAACAGG